rnacentral:tRNA from 1 species
GGGCCCUUAGCUUAGUGGCAGAGCAUCCGGUUUGCAUCCGGAAGAUGGGGGUUCGAUUCCCCCAGGGUCCACCA